UAUCCUCCCGCUCACUUCAAGUGAUGCUUCCCGGCGGAGGGACCAUGCAAUGGCGGGCUGCCCUUCACAGGACCCUUCUUGUUGUUCUGCUGCCAGAGACUGGCGCUGACGGAUGACGGAUGAAGGAUUGAGGACAUGUGAGGCUUCUUAAGACAGUCGGCUAGAAGUGGACAGACCGGGCGGCGGGGAUCUUCCACCAACAGAGGGGAGACUUCGGAGAAGAGGAUCGGAGUGUGUCUCCAUAACCCACGUUGACCGAGCAUCAAUUGGAUAUUUUGUAUUAAAAAAAAAAGAAAAAAAUAGAGACGAUCGGUAGAAAUUGCAAUGAAGUGAGUAAGAGUAACUUCGCCAUGAAAUCAGUGUUCUUAAGCCGCUUCUUCAUCCUUCUGCCGUGGGUGCUAAUAGUCAUCAUCAUGAUCGAUAUCGACAGCAAAAGAACGAUCUGGUCUCCGGUGGCAGUCCGGGGCAGCUUUAAGGCGCACCAGGCGGCCCUGCCGGUCAUCUACGCCAUCACCCCCACUUACACGCGUCCGGUGCAGAAAGCCGAGCUUACCCGACUCGCCCACGUCUUCCGACAGGUGGCCCAGUUGCACUGGAUCGUGGUGGAGGACUCCACGGUGCGGACGGACCUGGUGAGCCGCUUCCUGGCCCGGGCCGGCGUGCCCUGCACGCACCUGCACGUCUUCACGCCCCGCCGGUUCAAGAGCGUCGGGAUGCCGCGUGCCACCGAGCAGAGGAAUGUGGCCCUGGGCUGGCUCCGGCAGUACCGGACACGCCACGACGCGGGGGUGGUCUACUUCGCGGACGAUGACAACACUUACAGCCUGGAAUUAUUUGAGGAGAUGCGAAACACUCGAGGCGUGUCUGUGUGGCCGGUGGGGUUUGUUGGUGGCAGAGCAUAUGAGCGCCCACUAGUGUCAGGGGGCAAAGUUGUGGGCUGGUACACCGGCUGGAGACCGGAUCGACCUUUUGCUACUGACAUGGCAGGUUUUGCUGUGAACCUCCACGUGAUCCUGGCUAAUCCGAGGGCGCAGUUCAAGAGGCGGGGCUCCCAGCCGGGCAUGCAGGAGUCCGACUUCCUCAAGCAAAUCACCAAGGUGACAGAGUUGGAGCCCAAAGCCAACAACUGCACUCGGGUUCUUGUUUGGCACACGCGCAGUGAGAAGCCGCACCUCGCAAACGAGUCCAAGCAUGCAAUGGACAGUGUGGUCAUCGAGGUGUGAGCCAAGGAGAAUCAAUUUCAAGCUCUCAACACGUUUCCACUGGAACUUACUAGCAGCAAACUGCCAUUCCUCCUCGUAGUGUUCAUCACUGACAGUAACUGAGGAGGCACGUCAGUCGAUCCCCCGUUUGUUUGUGGGCAAAAGGCGGACUACACUCUCAACAGAUCACCUGUUCAUCCAGAGGAUUUAAAUGCUGGCUGCAUUGAUUGAUUGAUUGAUUGAUUGAGACUUGUAUUAGUAGGUUGCACAGUGAAGUA